GUCCAGACUCCUACGGGAGGCAGCAGUGGGGAAUAUUGCACAAUGGGGGAAACCCUGAUGCAGCGACGCCGCGUGAGCGAUGAAGUAUUUCGGUAUGUAAAGCUCUAUCAGCAGGGAGGAAAAUGACGGUACCUGAGUAAGAAGCCCCGGCUAACUACGUGCCAGCAGCCGCGGUAAUACGUAGGGGGCAAGCGUUAUCCGGAUUUACUGGGUGUAAAGGGAGCGUAGACGGCAGUGCAAGUCUGGAGUGAAAGGCGGGGGCUCAACCCCCGGACUGCUCUGGAAACUGUACGGCUGGAGUGCAGGAGAGGUAAGUGGAAUUCCUAGUGUAGCGGUGAAAUGCGUAGAUAUUAGGAGGAACACCAGUGGCGAAGGCGGCUUACUGGACUGUAACUGACGUUGAGGCUCGAAAGCGUGGGGAGCAAACAGGAUUAGAUACCCCUGUACC
rnacentral:rRNA from 1 species